GAAAAGAUAAGUGCUGAAAGCAUCUAAGCACGAAACUUGCCCCGAGAUGAGUUCUCCCUGAGACUUUAAGUCUCCUGAAGGAACGUUGAAGACGACGACGUUGAUAGGUCGGGUGUGUAAGCGCAGCGAUGCGUUGAGCUAACCGAUACUAAUGAACCGUGAGGCUUAACCUUACAACGCCGAAG
rnacentral:rRNA from 1 species